rnacentral:rRNA from 1 species
GCUUGGUUCGUGCGUGGCUGAGUGUAUGUACGAAGGGGGGUAGCGUUGUGGUGAAUUACUGGUCGUAAUGCGCUCGUUGUGGGCCGUGCAAGUGAGGCGUGAAAGGCCGUGUCGUAACCUGGGAACGGCGCGUCAGACUGCACGGCGUGAGUCCGGGAGAGGGUGGUGGAAUUCCCAGUGUAGAGGCGAAAUGCGUAGAUAUGCGGAGGAACACCGAUGGCGAAGGCAAUCCCCUGGGCCUGCACUGACGCUCAUGCACGAAAGCGUGGGGAGCAAACAGGAUUAGAUACCCGUGUAGUC